CUAAAAUGUUUUGAAGCUUUUUUGAAAGCGAAGUUAGCUUCACCUUCAACAGCAUCACCUUCACCAUCAAGCACUGUUACAAAUCUUGACUGAUCUUGUUAGUGGAAAAUAUUGGAGCAACUUUCACUUGGAGUUUGGAAAUGGAAGCUCUUUUGUAAUAACUUUAGCUUGUAAUUCUGAUGUUCAAUGAUCUGGAGAUGUCUAAAAAUUUCUUCUUUGUUUGUGUUUGUGGGUUGGCCCUUUUUGUGUUAUUUGGUUUACUUCAAGAUAUUCUUUUCUGUUUUUUUGUUUUUUCCCUAAGAGUUCAUCUUAAUAUGUCUGGCAAUUCUGCUACUGCCACAGACUUGAAUAGGUGAAUCUUCAAUCUUUUCUCUUUUAAUUAUAUCCUUGUUUUGAUCAAAACAUUGGGAGCCCAGAUGGUUAUUUUGAUGGGAGCAGCAAUGUUGAUAGCA